rnacentral:rRNA from 1 species
GAUGAACGCUGGCGGCGUGCUUAACACAUGCAAGUCGAGCGAGAAAAGUUCUUCGGAGCUUUUCUAGCGGCGGACGGGUGAGUAACACGUGGGCAACCUGCCUCAUAGAGGGGAAUAGCCUUCCGAAAGGAAGAUUAAUACCGCAUAACAUUGUUGAAAGGCAUCUUUUAACAAUCAAAGGAAUAAUCCGCUAUGAGAUGGGCCCGCGGCGCAUUAGCUAGUUGGUGAGGUAACGGCUCACCAAGGCGACGAUGCGUAGCCGACCUGAGAGGGUGAUCGGCCACAUUGGAACUGAGACACGGUCCAGACUCCCACGGGAGGCAGCAGUGGGGAAUAUUGCACAAUGGGGGAAACCUUGAUGCAGCAACGCCGCGUGAGUGAUGAAGGUCUUCGGAUUGUAAAGCUCUGUCUUUAGGGACGAUAAUGACGGUACCUAAGGAGGAAGCCACGGCUAACUACGUGCCAGCCGCCGCCGUAACAC